GACCAACGCUGGCGGCGUGCUUAACACAUGCAAGUCGAACGGAAAGGCCCUGCUUUUGUGGGGUGCUCGAGUGGCGAACGGGUGAGUAACACGUGAGUAACCUGCCCUUGACUUUGGGAUAACUUCAGGAAACUGGGGCUAAUACCGGAUAGGAGCUCCUGCUGCAUGGUGGGGGUUGGAAAGUUUCGGCGGUUGGGGAUGGACUCGCGGCUUAUCAGCUUGUUGGUGGGGUAGUGGCUUACCAAGGCUUUGACGGGUAGCCGGCCUGAGAGGGUGACCGGCCACAUUGGGACUGAGAUACGGCCCAGACUCCUACGGGAGGCAGCAGUGGGGAAUAUUGCACAAUGGGCGGAAGCCUGAUGCAGCAACACCGCGUGCGGGAUGACGGCCUUCGGGUUGUAAACCGCUUUCGCCUGUGACGAAGCGUGAGUGACGGUAAUGGGUAAAGAAGCACCGGCUAACUACGUG
rnacentral:rRNA from 1 species